rnacentral:lncRNA from 1 species
GGAGAUUUGGGGGCAUUGGAAUGAAGGGUUUGGGAAUUUAGGAUGGGAGAUUUGAGAUGAAGGAUUUGGGAAUUUGGUAUAAAAGAUUUGGGGGAUUUGGGAUGAAGGAUUUGGGAUCUUUGGAUCAAGGAUUUGGGGAUUUUGGACCAAGGAUUUGGGGAUUUGGGAUGGGGAAUCUGGGAUAAAAGAUUUGGGGAUUUGGGAUGAAGGAUUUAGGAAUUUUGGAUCAAAGAUUUGCAAAUUUGGAUUGAAGGAUUUGGGAUUUGGGAAUUUGGGAUGAAGGAUUUGGGGGAUUUGGGAUGAAGGGUUUGGGAUUUUUGGAUCAAGGAUUUUGGGAUUUUGGAGGAAGGGUUUGGGGAUUUUUGGGAUAGGGAAUUUGGGAUAAAAGAUUUGGGGAUUUUGGACCAAGGAUUUGGGGAUUUGGGAUGAGGGAUUUGGGAAUUUGGAGUGAAGGAUUUGGGGAUUGGGAUGAAGGGUUUGGGAAAUUUUGGAUCAAAGAUUUGGGAAUUUGGAGUGAAGGAUUUGGGAUGGGGGAUUUGGGAAUUUGGGAUGAAGCAUUUGGGGGAUUUGGGAUUUGGGAUUUUUCGAUCAAGGAUUUUGGGAUUUUGGAGGAAGGGCUUGGGAAUUUGGGAUCAAAGAUUUGGGAACUUGAAGGAUUUGGGGAUUUUUGGGAUGAAGGAUUUGGGAAUUUUGGGGUGAAGGGUUUGGAUUUUGGGGUGAAGGGUUUGGAUUUUGGGGUGACGGAUUUGGAUUUUAGGAUGAAAUUUGGGGUGAAGGAUUUGGAUUUUGGGGUGAAGGAUUUGGAUUUUGGGGUGAAGGGUUUGGGAUUUCGGAUGAAUUUUGCGGUGAAGGUUUUGGGCUUUGGGAUGAAUUUUGGGAUGAAGGAUUUGGAAUUUGGGGUGAAGGAUUUGGAUUUUGGGGUGAAUUUUGGGAUGAAGGAUUUGGAAUUCAGGAUGAAUUUUGGGGUGAAUUUUGGGGUGAAGGAUUUGGGCUUUGGGAUGCAGGAUUUUGAGUUUGGGGUGACGGAUCUGGAAUUUGGGGUGAAUGAUUUGGAUUUUGGGAUGAAUUUUGGGGUGAAGGAUUUGGAAUUUGGGGUGAAAUUUGGG